rnacentral:rRNA from 1 species
UACAGAGGGGGCUAGCGUUGUUCGGAAUUACUGGGCGUAAAGGGCGCGUAGGCGGCCUAUUAAGUUAGAAGUGAAAUCCCGAAGCUUAACUUCGGAAUUGCUUUUAAUACUGGUAGGCUAGAAAUUGGUAGGGGAUAGUGGAAUUCCUAGUGUAGGAGUGAAAUCCGUAGAUAUUAGGAGGAACACCAGUGGCGAAGGCGGCUACCUGGAUUGACACUGACACUGAGGCGCGAGAGCGUGGGGAGCAAACAGG